rnacentral:rRNA from 1 species
UACGAAGGGGGCUAGCGUUGUUCGGAUUUACUGGGCGUAUAGCGCACGUAGGCGGCUCUUUAAGUCAGGGGUGAAAUCCUUGGGCUCAACCCAAGAAUUGCCUUUGAAACUGUAUAGCUAGAGUGUCGGAGGGGAUAGCGGAAUUGCUAAUGUAGAGGUGAAAUUCGUAGAUAUUAGCAGGAACACCGGUGGCGAAGGCGGCUAUCUGGACGACAACUGACGCUGAGGCGCGAAAGCGUGGGGAUCAAACAGG